GGAGAGGUGGCCGAGUGGUUGAAGGCGCACGACUCGAAAUCGUGUGUAGGGUCAAACCUAUCGAGGGUUCGAAUCCCUCCCUCUCCGCCA
rnacentral:tRNA from 1 species